rnacentral:rRNA from 1 species
UAGUGGCAAACGGGUGAGUAACACGUGAAUAAUCUUCCUUCAAGAGGGGGAUAACCCCGGGAAACCGGGGCUAAUACCGCGUAUGACCACGCUCUCGCAUGAGAGUGAGGUGAAACGCUCGCGCUUGAGGAGGGAUUCACGGCCUAUCAGCUUGUUGGCGGGGUAACGGCCCACCAAGGCUUCGACGGGUAGCCGAUCUGAAAGGACGACCGGCCACAAUGGCACUGAGACACGGGCCAUACUCCUACGGGAGGCAGCAGUGGGGAAUCUUGCGCAAUGGGGGCAACCCUGACGCAGCAAUGCCGCGUGAAGGACGAAGGUCUUCGGAUUGUAAACUUCUUUUGUAGGGGACAAAUGUCUUGGUGAAGAGCCAAGAAUGAUGGUACCCUGCGAAUAAGCCACGGCUAACUUCGUGCCAGCAGCCGCGGUAAGACGAAGGUGGCAAGCGUUACUCGGAUUUACUAGGUGUAAAGCGUGGGCAGGUGGUUCGAUAAGUCUGUUGUGAAAGCUCCUGGCUUAACUGGGAGAGGCCAAUGGAUACUGUCGGGCUUGAAUAUGGGAGAGGUGACUGGAAUUCCUGGUGUAGCGGUGAAAUGCGUAGAGAUCAGGAGGAACAUCGAUGGCGAAAGCAGGUCACUGGACCAUUAU